rnacentral:tRNA from 1 species
GUCCCUGUAGUAUAAUCUGGAUUAAUACAUGACCCCGCGGAGGUCAAAAUCUGGGUUCAAAUCCCAGCAGGGACA